UACGGGGGGGGCAAGCGUUGUUCGGAUUUACUGGGCGUAAAGGGCGCGUAGGCGGGCGGUCAAGUCGAGGGUGAAAGCCCCCAGCUCAACUGGGGAAGUGCCUCCGAUACUGGCCGUCUCGAGGGGGAGUAGGGGCGUGCGGAACUUCCGGUGGAGCGGUGAAAUGCGUAGAUAUCGGAAGGAACAUCGGUGGCGAAAGCGGCGCGCUGGAUCCCUUCUGACGCUGAGGCGCGAAAGCCAGGGGAGCGGAACGGG
rnacentral:rRNA from 1 species